rnacentral:rRNA from 1 species
AUUGAACGCUGGCGGCAGGCCUAACACAUGCAAGUCGAACGAGUGGCGGACGGGUGAGUAAUGUCUGGGAAACUGCCUGAUGGAGGGGGAUCACUACUGGAAACGGUCGCUAAUACCGCAUACAAUCAGAUGGGCCCAUGUGGGAUUAGCUUGUUGGGGGGGAAACGGCGCACCAAGGCGACGAUCCCUAGCUGGUCUGAGAGGAGGACCAGGCACACUGGAACGUGGACACGGUCCAGACUCCUACGGGAGGCAGCAGUGGGGAAUAUGGCACAAUGGGCGAAAGCCUGAUGCAGCCAUGCCGCGUGUAUGAAGAAGGCCUUCGGGUUGUAAAGUACUUUCAGCGGGGAGGCGUUACCCGCAGAAGAAGCACCGGCUAACUCCGUGCCAGCAGCCGCGGUAAUAC